GCUCCCUCCCGUCCGCCCGACUACCACGACUACCCUUACCGGGAACGGAACCGAAGGACCGAACGUGGGGGAAGGUUUUAGGUUCGGCCGAAUGGGGAAACCCGGUACGAACGGCAGCAACGACCGCCGUGGAGGAGUGAAGUCCUUGGGAUGUAAACUACCUUUCGAUCGGACGAUUAUGACGGUACCGGAAGAAGAAGCACCGGCUAACUCUGUGCCAGCAGCCGCGGUAAUUC
rnacentral:rRNA from 1 species